GACGAACGCUGGCGGCGUGCUUAACACAUGCAAGUCGAACGGAGUGGCGAACGGGUGAGUAACACGUGGGUGAUCUGCCUUGCACUUCGGGAUAAGCUUGGGAAACUGGGUCUAAUACCGGAUAUUGCAGGAUGAGGUCGCGGCCUAUCAUCUUGUUGGUGGGGUAAUUGCCUACCAAGGCGUCGACGGGUAGCCGGCCUGCGAGGGUGUACGGCCACAUUGUGACUGGGAUGCGGGCCAGACUCCUACGGGAGGCAGCAAUGGAGAAUAUUGCACAAGGGGCGGAAGCCUGAUGCAGCUAUGCCGCGUGGGAGAUGAAUGCUUUCGGGUUGUAACGUCCUUUCGACAGGGACGCGGUACCUGUAUAAGAAGCACCGGCUAACUACGUGCCAGCCGCCGCGGUAAUUC
rnacentral:rRNA from 1 species